UAAACCGAGGGGGUAAAGGUGACCGUGUU
rnacentral:piRNA from 1 species